rnacentral:rRNA from 1 species
AAUAGAUACCCUGGUAGUCCACGCCGUAAACGAUGAGUACUAGGGGUUGGGGGUAUCGACCCCCUCAGUCUCGAAGCUAACGCGAUGAGUACUCCGCCUGGGGACUACGGCCGCAAGGCUAAAACUCAAAGGAAUUGACGGGGGCCCGCACAAGCAGCGGAGCGUGUGGUUUAAUUCGAUGAUACGCGAAGAACCUUACCUGGGCUUGACAUGCACGUGGUACUGAUUCGAAAGAUGAGGGACCCUUCGGGGAGCGUGCACAGGUGUUGCACGGCCGUCGUCAGCUCGUGCCGUGAGGUGUUGGGUUAAGUCUCGCAACGAGCGCAACCCCCGUCGCCAGUUGUACUUUUCUGGCGAGACUGCCGGGAAACCCCCGGAGGAAGGAGGGGAUGAUGUCAGGUCAGCGUGGCCCUUACGGUCCAGGGCUACACACACGCUACAAUGGGUGGUACAGAGGGUCGCGAAGCCGCGAGGUGGAGCUAAUCCCACAAAGCCAUCCCCAGUUCGGAUUGCAGGCUGAAACUCGCCUGCAUGAAGCCGGAGUUGC